GACGAAGGGGGCUAGCGUUGUUCGGAAUUACUGGGCGUAAAGCGCGUGUAGGCGGUUGCCCAAGUCGGGUGUGAAAUCCUGGAGCUCAACUCCAGAACUGCCUUCGAUACUGGAAAGCUCGAGUCCGGGAGAGGUGAGUGGAACUGCGAGUGUAGAGGUGAAAUUCGUAGAUAUUCGCAAGAACACCAGUGGCGAAGGCGGCUCACUGGCCCGGUACUGACGCUGAGGUGCGAAAGCGUGGGGAGCGAACAGG
rnacentral:rRNA from 1 species